GUCUCGUUAGAUUAACCCAAUAAAUUUCAUUCACUCCGCAUACUCAAUCCUAUAGAUACCCUUUUAAUUCUUCAUCACAGACGUAACUCGAUUUCACAAAACAGUCAAGAGUAAUCAAACCCACUUCAUUAAAAAUCCCGAUUCACCAUUACAACACUGACUUCAGCAACGAUUGCCUCAGUCUUCCCAAAAUCCUAUGAAGAAAAAAAACCCAAUUCUCUGUCUUCUUUCCCCGCCCAAAGCAUGAAGCUA
rnacentral:lncRNA from 1 species